rnacentral:tRNA from 1 species
GCGAGAGUGGUGGAACCUGGCAGACACGCCAGACUUAGGAUCUGGUGCCGAAAGGCUUAAGGGUUCAAAUCCCUUCUCUCGCA